UGAUUUUGCUGCCCCAAAAGUCUUCACACUUUCUUAUUUUCUUGGCUGCAUCAGAUCAGAAGUCCAGCCCCUCUCUCUCUACUCCUUUUCCUCUUUCUUUGUUCUUCUUUCUCUCUUCUUCUGUUGCUUCUACACGGCAGCCCUCCCUUUCUCACCAACACAAUACAUUCCUCUCUAAAGAUGAAAUUAAACAAUUAACCCUAAGGUUUCAGCUUCAAAUUGUGGUGGGUGUUACCAGUUUCCCAAGUUUAAGCUCCGUCGACUGUAGGCUCUCGGUUCCUCUGCUUUCAGUUAACAGGUUUUAUUUUGGAGCAGAGGGAGCCUUAGUCGAGUUUGGAAGGAGUUGGUUUUAGUUUUAUAUGUAUAGAUCCUAAACUAGCAUUCUGACGUUUAGCGUUAUAGUUAUUGUGUAUUCUAGGAUCUAAUGAAAGUGUAUACCUUAAAGUAUUAAGAGAUGUAUUAUGUGAAAUUCCGAAUUUGAACAAUUGGUGAAUUAGGUUAUUCUUUGGAGUACAUUGUAGAUGCUCUGAAUGUCAAGUGAAAGGUUAUAUCAUUUAAGUAUAGAAAAAAGAAAAUUAUUCUAAAAUCAAAAAGAGAAGCUUUUGGAAAAGUUUUGUAAAAGUUAAGUUGGUUCUUGUUAAUAUCAGGUUUAGGCUUGAUAUUAGCAUGCCGGUCAUGGUCACAAAUCCGGGUACCGGGUUUGGGGCGUGACAAUUAUGGUUUAUUUAUUUUUGGAUAAGUAUAAUCAGAGUCUUAUUUUUUAACUUUAUUAAUGCAUCUUUGGCCAUUAACAUAUGGUUCUUGAGUCUUACUUUUAAAAAUCUUUGACUUACAUAUAAAUUCUAAAUAAGAUUUCCAGUAGUCCUUUUUUUUCCCCCUCUGUUUUUUCCAAUUAUUCUUUUGGGUAGAAAGUUCUUGCUUUAAACUGUAUUUUCACUGCAUUCCUCAUGUUCGGUUGUCUUAAGCUCAUGAAGAGAAAUUAGUGCUCAAAGUCAUAACAUCCUAGUACUACCUGUUGAAAAAUUUUGUCUGUCUUCUUUUAUGUUAUUGGGAACGCAACUUGAUCAUUUGUGUUACCUAAGUUAGCAAUAUCUAUUUGAAUUUGUGAUUGUACUCAUAUAGUCAUGACUCAUAAGUUACUCUUUUGUUAUUCACUAUUGCAUGUCCAUAUACUUAUACAAUAGCACUUUAUGUAGUUUUUCUCCUUAAUCAUAUGUGUGGAGGGAUGAACCUCUCCCUUAGAAGGUAUUAUCCGCUUUGGGUGAAAACCCUCAUAGAUUUGCUUAAUCCCACAUCGGGGAGAGACGCCUUCCACCUUCAGCUUAUAAGCGUUGGGCCUAAAUGAAGGUGUACCAUUGUGUGUGUGGAAGCAGUAGAUGAGAUGGAAUUAUGUGACUCAAUUCAAAACAUGAAACUACUUCACUACUUGUUUAUCAUGACAACUAAUGUUUUGUGAAGGAAGCAUAUCUAAUUGCAUACUUAAUGAGAAGAUGCUAUGGGAGCCUCUGACGGUCCAAGGCUUUCUGAAAUGCAGAAGCAAGUACUUUAGACUAUAUAGAGGGAAUUUGAAUGCAGCUUGUUCCAAAUCUGCUGAAGAUUGAUGUAAGAUUCAAACAACUGUGUCAGCUGAGUUCUGUGUAAUUCCAAGCAAGUAGUAGAUUGGGAAAUUUUCCUCUACAUUGAGUACUUACUUCAUCGUGGUAAGAAAUAACCGGAUCAGCUCAGGAGCCCUGAUACAAUUGGGUGGUUGUCAUUCAAAGUCAGUGUGUCUAAAAUCAUAAAUCUCAAGCCUUGAACUAAGACAUUUAUUUGAUUCCUAUUCUGUUUUGGAGCUGAAAUUUGUUUCUUUCAUUAUUUAAAUCUCCUGUCCAAAUUCUUUGUAUUUGUAAAUUAAGAUAUGGUAUACUGCUUCAACAGUUGCAAAUC